GGAACAACGCCGCGUGUGUGAUGAAGGCUUUCGGGUCCAUACAGCACUGUUGUAUGGGAAGAAAUGCUAAAAUAGGGAAUGAUUUUAGUUUGACGGUACCAUACCAGAAAGGGACGGCUAAAUACGUGCCAGCAGCCGCGGUAAUACGUAUGUCCCGAGCGUUAUCCGGAUUUAUUGGGCGUAAAGCGAGCGCAGACGGUUGAUUAAGUCUGAUGUGAAAGCCCGGAGCUCAACUCCGGAAUGGCAUUGGAAACUGGUUAACUUGAGUGUUGUAGAGGUAAGUGGAACUCCAUGUGUAGCGGUGGAAUGCGUAGAUAUAUGGAAGAACACCAGUGGCGAAGGCGGCUUACUGGACAACAACUGACGUUGAGGCUCGAAAGUGUGGGUAGCAAACAGGAUUAGAUACCCUGGUAGUCCACACCGUAAACGAUGAAUACUAGGUGUUAGGAGGUUUCCGCCUCUUAGUGCCGAAGCUAACGCAUUAAGUAUUCCGCCUGGGGAGUACGACCGCAAGGUUGAAACUCAAAGGAAUUGACGGGGACCCGCACAAGCGGUGGAGCAUGUGGUUUAAUUCGAAGCAACGCGAAGAACCUUACCAGGUCUUGACAUCCUUUGAAGCUUUUAGAGAUAGAAGUGUUCUCUUCGGAGACAAAGUGACAGGUGGUGCAUGGUCGUCGUCAGCUCGUGUCGUGAGAUGUUGGGUUAAGUCCCGCAACGAGCGCAACCCUUAUUGUUAGUUGCCAGCAUUCAGUUGGGCACUCUAGCGAGACUGCCGGUGACAAACCGGAGGAAGGCGGGGACGACGUCAGAUCAUCAUGCCCCUUAUGACCUGGGCUACACACGUGCUACAAUGGCGUAUACAACGAGUUGCCAACCUGCGAAGGUGAGCUAAUCUCUUAAAGUACGUCUCAGUUCGGACUGCAGUCUGCAACUCGACUGCACGAAGUCGGAAUCGCUAGUAAUCGCGGAUCAGCACGCCGCGGUGAAUACGUUCCCGGGUCUUGUACACACCGCCCGUCACACCAUGGGAGUUUGUAAUGCCCAAAGCCGGUGGCCUAACCUUCGGGAGGGAGCCGUCUA
rnacentral:rRNA from 1 species